NNNNNNNNNNNNNNNNNNNNNNNNNNNNNNNNNNNNNNNNNNNNNNNNACUUUGCUGAGGAUGAGCCGGGAGGCGGCGGCGCUGCCGUCGAUGAUGAUGGUGGUGAUUUUGUCGUCGCGGAUCUCCUUCAGCAGCGACGUGGGAUCCUGCGCCUCGUCCAGGACGCGCACCGACAGCGCCUCGCGCGCGAUCAGGAACUGCCGCACCAGCUCCUCCAGGCGCAGCAGGCCUGCGGGCGGCAGCUUCGUCAGCAUCCUCAUCCUCGCCGGCGUCGUCGGCGCCAUCGUCAGCGUCGUCGGCAUCGUCACCGUCAUCAUCAGCAUCGUCAUCGUUGUCAGCAUCGUCAUCAGCAUCGUCAGCAUUGUCAUUGUCAUCGCCAUCGUCAGCGUCGUCAGCAUCGUCACCGUCAUCAUCAGCAUCGUCAUCGUCAUCGUCGUCAGCAUCGUCAGCAUCGUCACCGUCAUCGUUGUCAUCAUCGUCAUCAUCACUGUCAUCAGCAUCGUCAUCGUCAUCGUUGUCAGCAUCGUCAUCAGCAUCGUCAGCAUUGUCAUUGUCAUCAUCGUCAUCAGCAUUGUCAUCAUUGUCAUCGUCAUCGUCAUCAGCAUCGUCAGCAUCAUCACCGUCAUUGUCAUCAGCGUCAGCAUCCUCAUCCUCGCCAGCAUCGCCAGCGUCAUCAGCGUCAUCAUCAGCAUCGUCAUCAGCAUCGUCAGCAUUGUCAUCGUCAUCGUCAUCAUCGUCAUCAGCACUGUCAUCAUCGUCAUUGUCAUUGUCAUUGUCAUCAGCAUCGUCACCGUCAUCGUCAUCAUCAGCAUCGUCACCAUCAUCGUCGUCAUCAUUGUCAUCAUCGUCAUCAUCGUCAUCGUAAUCAUCAUCGUCAUCAUCAUCGUCAUCAGCAUCGUCAGCAUCGUCAUCGUCAUCAUCAUGAUCAUCACCGUCAUCAUCACUGUCAUCAUCAUUGUCAUCAGCAUCAUCAUCGUCAUCAUCGUCGUCAUCAUCGUCAUCAGCAGCAGCAGCAUUGUCAUCAGCAUCGUCAUCAUCAGCAUCGUCAUCGUCAUCAGCAGCAGCAUCGCCAGCAUAGUCCUGUCAUCAUCGUCAUCAUCAUCAUUAUCGUCAGCAUCAUCAGCAUCAUCAUCGUCAUCGUCAUCAUCAUCGUCAGCAGCGUCAUCAGCAUCAUCAUCGUCAUCAUCAUCAUCAUUGUCGUCAUCGUCGUCAUCAGCAGCAGUGUCAGCAUUGUCAGCACCGUCAUCA
rnacentral:lncRNA from 1 species